GACGAACGCUGGCGGCGUGCCUAAUACAUGCAAGUAGAACGCUGAAGGGAGAGCUUGCUCUUCUGGAUGAGUUGCGAACGGGUGAGUAACGCGUAGGUAACCUGCCUGGUAGCGGGGGAUAACUAUUGGAAACGAUAGCUAAUACCGCAUAACAUUGACUACUGCAUGAUAGUUAAUUGAAAGGUGCAAAUGCACCACUACCAGAUGGACCUGCGUUGUAUUAGCUAGUUGGUGGGGUAACGGCUCACCAAGGCGACGAUACAUAGCCGACCUGAGAGGGUGAUCGGCCACACUGGGACUGAGACACGGCCCAGACUCCUACGGGAGGCAGCAGUAGGGAAUCUUCGGCAAUGGACGGAAGUCUGACCGAGCAACGCCGCGUGAGUGAAGAAGGUUUUCGGAUCGUAAAGCUCUGUUGUAAGAGAAGAACGAGUGUGAGAGUGGAAAGUUCACACUGUGACG
rnacentral:rRNA from 1 species